GACGAACGCUGGCGGCGUGCUUAACACAUGCAAGUCGAACGGAAAGGCCCUGCUUUUGUGGGUUGCUCGAGUGGCGAAGGGGUGAGUAACACACGAGUAACCUGUCCUUGACUUUGGGAUAACUUCAGGAAAAUGGGGCUAAUACCGGAUAGGAGCUCCUGCUGCAUGGGGGUGGUUGGAAAGUUUCGGCGGUUGGGGCUGUACUGGAGGCUUAUGAGCUGGUUGGGCAGGUAGUGGCUUACCAGGGCUUUGAAGGGUAGCCGGCCUGGGAGGGUUACCGGCCACAUUGGGACUGCGGUACGGCCCAGACUCCAACGGGAGGCAGCAGGGGGGAAUAUUGCACAAUGGGCGGAAGCCUGAUGCAGCAACGCCGCGUGCGGGAUGACGGCCUUCGAGUUGUAAACCGAUUUCGCCUGUGACGAAGCGUGAGUGACGGUAAUGGGUAAAGAAGCACCGGCUAACUACGUG
rnacentral:rRNA from 1 species